GAUGAACGCUGGCGGCGUGCUAAUACAUGCAAGUCGAACGCUGAAGCCCAGCUUGCUGGGUGGAUGAGUGGCGAACGGGUGAGUAACACGUGAGUAACCUGCCCCCUUCUUUGGGAUAACGCCCGGAAACGGGUGCUAAUACUGGAUAUUCACUGGCUUUCGCAUGGGGGUUGGUGGAAAGGUUUUUUCUGGUGGGGGAUGGGCUCGCGGCCUAUCAGCUUGUUGGUGGGGUGAUGGCCUACCAAGGCUUUGACGGGUAGCCGGCCUGAGAGGGUGACCGGUCACAUUGGGACUGAGAUACGGCCCAGACUCCUACGGGAGGCAGCAGUGGGGAAUAUUGCACAAUGGGCGAAAGCCUGAUGCAGCGACGCCGCGUGAGGGAUGACGGCCUUCGGGUUGUAAACCUCUUUCGCUCAUGGUCAAGCCGCAGCUUUGGGUUGUGGUGAGGGUAGUGGGUAAAGAAGCGCCGGCUAACUACGUGCCAGCAGCCGCGGUAAUACGUAGGGCGCGAGCGUUGUCCGGAAUUAUUGGGCGUAAAGGGCUUGUAGGCGGUUGGUCGCGUCUGCCGUGAAAUCCUCUGGCUUAACUGGGGGCGUGCGGUGGGUACGGGCUGACUUGAGUGCGGUAGGGGAGACUGGAACUCCUGGUGUAGCGGUGGAAUGCGCAGAUAUCAGGAAGAACACCGGUGGCGAAGGCGGGUCUCUGGGCCGUUACUGACGCUGAGGAGCGAAAGCGUGGGGAGCGAACAGG
rnacentral:rRNA from 1 species